rnacentral:rRNA from 1 species
UACAGAGGUCUCAAGCGUUGUUCGGAUUCAUUGGGCGUAAAGGGUGCGUAGGCGGUAGGGUAAGUCGGAUGUGAAAUCCCGGGGCUCAACCCCGGAACUGCAUUCGAUACUGCCUUGCUUGAGCACUGGAGAGGAGACUGGAAUUUACGGUGUAGCAGUGAAAUGCGUAGAUAUCGUAAGGAAGACCAGUGGCGAAGGCGAGUCUCUGGACAGUUGCUGACGCUGAGGCACGAAGGCCAGGGGAGCAAACGGG